UUCUAAUGGUACAUAAAAAAUUUGAGGGAAUGAUCUUGCUUGAAUAGUCGUACUCAUAACCGCAGCAGGUCUCCAAGGUUAGAAGCCUCUAGUUGGCAGAAUAAUGUAGGUAAGGGAAGUCGGCAAAAUAGAUCUGUAACUUCGGGGAAAAAAGAUUGGCUCUAAAAGGCUGAGUAUAUGGGCUAUAUUAUGAAGUUGUUGGAGAUUAGAUUAUUACGAUUGGCUGUCAUGGUUGGUUGUGAUGGUUUAGUUAAAGAUGAUGGAGGGGUAUAGGCAGCUGUCAAAGGCUGUGCUGUAUACAAUUAACAGCUAAUUUAGAACUGUUACUGACCAGGGGAAUCCGACUGUUUAAUUAAAACAAAGCAUUGUGAUGUUCUCAAUAAGGAUUCUAACACAAUGUG
rnacentral:rRNA from 1 species